rnacentral:rRNA from 1 species
AGAGUUUGAUACUGCUCAGAUUGAACGCUGGUGGCAGGCCUAACACAUGCAAGUCGAGCGGAUGAUGGGAGCUUGCUCCCGGAUUCAGCGGCGGACGGGUGAGUAAUGCCUAGGAAUCUGCCUGGUAGUGGGGGACAACGUUUCGAAAGGAACGCUAAUACCGCAUACGUCCUACGGGAGAAAGCAGGGGACCUUCGGGCCUUGCGCUAUCAGAUGAGCCUAGGUCGGAUUAGCUAGUUGGUGGGGUAAAGGCCUACCAAGGCGACGAUCCGUAACUGGUCUGAGAGGAUGAUCAGUCACACUGGAACUGAGACACGGUCCAGACUCCUACGGGAGGCAGCAGUGGGGAAUAUUGGACAAUGGGCGAAAGCCUGAUCCAGCCAUGCCGCGUGUGUGAAGAAGGUCUUCGGAUUGUAAAGCACUUUAAGUUGGGAGGAAGGGCAGUAAGUUAAUACCUUGCUGGUUUGACGUUACCACAGAAUAAGCACCGGCUAACUUCGUGCCAGCAGCCGGCGGUAAUACGAAGGGUGCAAGCGUCAAUCGGAAUUACUGGGCGUAAAGCGCGCGUAGGUGGUUUGGUA